rnacentral:rRNA from 1 species
AUGGCUGAAGAAUCUAUUCCCUGGACAGCAUUUACUUGUCCACAAGGCCAUUAUGAAUGGCUAGUAAUGCCAUUAGGUCUAAAGAAUGCACCUGCAUUAUUUCAAAGAAAAAUGCAAAAAAUAUUUAAUGAGAAUCAAGCAUUUAUAUUAGUAUACGUAGAUGAUUUGUUAGUAUUCUCAACAUCAUACAAAGAGCAUAUAGCCCAUCUUGAAGUGUUCUUUCGAAAGAUAGAACAAAAUGGACUCAUACUAUCCAAAAAGAAGAUGGAAAUUUGCAAAGAAAAAAUUAAUUUCCUUGGUCAUGAAAUAGGAGAAGGAAAGAUAUAUCUACAAGAACAUAUUGCAAAGAAAAUAUUAGAGUUUCCUGAUAAUAUGAGUGAUAAAAAGGUUUUACAGUAG